AUUCAAUUCGCAUUAAGGUGGCUCUAGUGUGAACACCUGACUCGAAUCAAGGCGUUGAUGCGCAUUCAAUUCGGUUUAAAACGCUAGUUUGAACACGGCAAUAGACUAUUGAGAUGUCUGCUGAAAAAAGGCAACUGGUAGUCCGUCAAGGAUUUGUUGAUGACAGAGUCGCCGUGCUGGACAUCGCCUCGAACGUGUACAAUGGCUUGGAUUAUCUCCCAGUGUUGUACAAGACACUUUGUGAAGAUCCACAAGUGAUGAACUUUAUCUUGGAGGUCGACGGAAAGGUGGUUGCAUAUUGUGAACUUGGAAGAAAAACUAAGUUUAGUUUGGCACAGUAACAGACUCACGGCUGAGGAUAGGAAGCAGGUAGCAUCUACAAUAUUACUUUACCACUUCACUCUAUUCAAUCCCGAAGACGUGUCAAGGGCCGAGUGCGGUUUCAAAAAUAACGUCAACCUGAUCGAACAUAUCAACAGCGUACCCUUCAGUGAAAUGAAGACAUUCUUAGAGAUGGCGGACUUCAGACGUCAGUUUCCAUCCAACAGGAUCUGCCUCACACGGCGGUGCUACAAGCUGGAUGUAAUUUCGAAUUUUAGUCCUUCCUAUUGCUUCCCAGAGCGCUUCCUAAUAUCCAAAUAUAAUAGUGGGAAAAUUAACGGUGUGAGUUUUUACAAUUGGAUGGUUGAUGAUGAGCAAAAUUGGGAAUGUCACGAAAUUAACAUUUACUGCGAAACGAAAGAGGCUGCUUUGGUCCACUUUGCGAGAAACCUCCAAGAUCUGUUGGAGAACAUCAAGCAUAAACAGGUGCACACCCUAGUGACAUAUCCUGACUUUAUCGGUUGUGCGGAUUUCAACGAAACAUUCAACCAGAAAUUUGGCCUGUCCAGCAAAUGGUCUGGUGGAAAAGUCCCCAGCUUUUUUUCGCUAAGAUACUCGCAGCUUCAUGAGCAAUUUCUAUCCAGAGAUGUUUUCCAUUGAUUUGGGUCUUGGUCGGUCUAUGAGUUAUUAUCAAUGGAUUGUUUGAGGUUUCGGGUGAACGCGAAAGAAGUGACAGCUCACAUGUUAUGUCAGUAUACAGUGCAUAUAUAUAGGUUAUUGUAUCUCCUUUCAUCUCUGUACUUUUAUUUAUGGUUGUUUAUAUAGUUACAUCUCACACUGUACGUUGCUUAUCUUGCUUAUUUACCUCUGUAAUAACCAU